rnacentral:rRNA from 1 species
AGAGCGAACGCUGGCGGCAGGCCUAACACAUGCAAGUCGAGCGCGUGUAGCAAUACACGAGCGGCAGACGGGAGAGUAACACGUGGGAACGCGCCCUUUGGUUCGGAAUAACUCAGGGAAACUUGAGCUAAUACCGGAUAAGCCCUUACGGGGAAAGAUUUAUCGCCAAAGGAACGGCCCGCGUCCGAUUAGCUAGUUGGUGAGGUAACGGCUCACCAAGGCGACGAUCGGUAGCUGGUCUGAGAGGAUGACCAGCCUCACUGGGACUGAGACACGGCCCAGACUCCUACGGGAGGCAGCAGUGGGGAAUAUUGGACAAUGGGCGCAAGCCUGAUCCAGCCAUGCCGCGUGAAUGAUGAAGGCCUUAGGGUUGUAAAGUCCUUUUAACGGGAAGUAUAAUGACGGUACCGUAGAAUAAGCCCGGCUAACUUCGUGCCAGCAGCCGC